rnacentral:rRNA from 1 species
GACGAACGCUGGCGGCGUGCUUAACACAUGCAAGUCGAACGGAAAGGCCCUGCUUUUGUGGGGUGCUCGAGUGGCGAACGGGUGAGUAACACGUGAGUAACCUGCCCUUGACUUUGGGAUAACUUCAGGAAACUGGGGCUAAUACCGGAUAGGAGCUCCUGCUGCAUGGUGGGGGUUGGAAAGUUUCGGCGGUUGGGGAUGGACUCGCGGCUUAUCAGCUUGUUGGUGGGGUAGUGGCUUACCAAGGCUUUGACGGGUAGCCGGCCUGAGAGGGUGACCGGCCACAUUGGGACUGAGAUACGGCCCAGACUCCUACGGGAGGCAGCAGUGGGGAAUAUUGCGCAAUGGGCGGAAGCCUGAUGCAGCAACGCCGCGUGCGGGAGGACGGCCUUCGGGUUGUAAACCGCUUUCGCCUGUGACGAAGCGUGAGUGACGGUAAUGGGUAAAGAAGCACCGGCUAACUACGU